rnacentral:rRNA from 1 species
AGUGAACGCUGGCGGCGUGCCUAAUACAUGCAAGUCGAACGGAGUGGCGCACGGGUGAGUAAUGUAUAGCUAAUCUUCCCUCCACUAGAGGACAACAGUUGGAAACGGCUGCUAAUACUCUAUAGUGUAGGUUGAGGCUAUAUUGUAUCAGCUAGUUGGUGAGGUAAUGGCUCACUAAGGCUAUGACGCAUAACUGGUCUGAGAGGAGGAUCAGUAACAAUGGAACUGAGACACGGUCCAGACUCCUGCGGGAGGCAGCAGUAGGGAAUAUUGCUCAAUGGGGGAAACCCUGAAGCAGAAACGCCGCGUGGAGGAUGACACUUUUCGGAGCGUAAACUCCUUUUGUUAGGGAAGCGGUACCUAAAGAAUAAGCACCGGCUAACUCCGUGCCAGCAGCCGCGGUAAUAC